CUGCUUCCGGGCCACAACGACCCCCGGGCCGUUCUCCUGCCGAGUGUCCGCCGGUCUGUCUCUCUGCGGUCCACAGUUGAGUGCGGGCUCUUCCUUCCCGCACCCUGCCCGGUCGCCGCGGCGGGUGGCGGGAAGCAGGUCUGGUCACCCAUAGUGAAGAUGAGCUUGUAGCGGAGGCGGACCUUCUCCUGGGGCACAAAUGGCAGAAGCACAGCAGUCAGAGCGUGCGGAGGGGAAGGGAAGUUAAUGCCACCCUGGGGUACUGCCCUGUCAUAGCUGGGCCCUCACCUUCUGGGGGUUAGCAAGGAGCAGGACCUGGGUGAUGGCGGAGGGGUGGACGAUGGGGUUAAAUGCUGGCAGCUCUGUGCCGGAGGGUGGCUGCAGCCUCACCUUCAUGACCUGAGGGCGGGAGGUAGGUAGUUGGUCAGACAGCCCCUGAGGAGGAAGUAGCUCCUUUCCCAGAGUCUCAGGAAUCUCUCUGGCCUCCCACCCCUUCCCCAGCUCCCCAGUGAAGGAUAUACUAUGCUCAGGCAGCUGGCUGCCCACCAAGUCUAAGGUCACCCUGCCUUGAGGGAGGAAGGCCUCCCUGGUCUGCCCUGUCACCUUGGGGACAGCUGACUGGAAAACAAUGUUUCGGAUGGGCUGGGGAGCCGUGCUCAGCAUAGAGACCACCACCACCAGCACAUCAGAGCGUCCGGGCAGUGGGUCGCGAGCAAAAUGGAAGAGGACACGGAAGCCAUGCUGGUCAUAAACGGUCACUGGCAAGAUGCUGCCUGUUGGGAGAAGGCAAGGCCCCACAGAAGCCAAUUUCUUGGUAGGAGCUGGAACUUUCACCUCGGUCCCUCGGGAGCUAGGAGCAGGAGCUAAGGUUGUGAGGAAGGAAGGAGAGUCUGACCUGCUGUGUCAGCCUCCAUCAGAGCUGGCACUCUGGACCUGGGCUAUGACGCACCUUGGGAGACACAACCUUGAUGAGCUCAUUCAGGAAGCGGAACUUGCCCACUUCGUCAUGGAACCUCUUGCCACAGCUCUUCAUGCAUGUUUCCAGAACCUGGAAGGGAAGCAGUGAGGUAGCCCCCAUCUUUGCCAGGGCCCAGAGGAAGGGAAUGACCCUCGAGGGCACAAGAUCCUGAGGUUCACGGGUCUCUGAGACUGUUCAUCACCAGCCUAGAGCACUGGGUCAGGGGUCUUCUAGUGACCAGCACUGCUCAAGCUGCUGAACCAUAGGCUCCUCCAUGGCUUGACCAUGCAUCACUUGGAUAUGGCCUUCUUACUAUUCUUAUUUUUAGAGACAGAGUUUCUCUGUGUAGCCCUGGUUAUCCUGGGACUCAUUCAGUAGAUCAGGCUGCCCUCAAAGUCACAGAGAUCCACUUGUUUCUGCCUCCUGAAUGCUGGCAUUAGAGGUGUACACCAUCA